rnacentral:lncRNA from 1 species
GGAACUGCGGGGCUUGAGGGAUGAGUGCAUUGCUGAAGGUGACGAAGAGGUCGUAGGACCAAUUUCCUUCAGAGCAAAUUGCUACAUAGCUUUAUCAAAGGUCUUUAUUCUUGUGCCAGCCCUUGGCCAUAAAGACAGUAUAGAAGAUUAACCACAAGUCCCCGACCCUAGGGCACAUUGUUUAGCUUCUAUAAGUUGUAAGUAACAGAGACUCUCAGUUUAAAGGGAUUUCAGAGAAAUCCAGGGACAAAAACUGAAUUACAGUUGGGUGUUGAUGGAAGCUGGAGAAUCAAGACUACUCUUGCCUUCCUCCUCCUCCUCCUCCUCCUUCCCUCCUUCCUUCCUCCUCCUCUCCCUCCUCCCCCUCCCUCUUCCUCCUCCUCUCUCUGGCCACACAGUGGAAAAUCCUUUUGCGUGCUCCUCCCCCUUCUUUUCUAUUUUGCUGGGCUCCCUGGUGACCUCUUGCCGGUGGCCCACACGGUUUCCCCACACUCUCCACAGUGGCACCUGUUGCUGGGCCUACUUGGCUUCUGCUCCUACUGCAGAGUGGAAACCCUCCAGAGUCUCAUGGUUCCCAUUCCCAGGGAAGAAGCUCGUUGGUUCCAUUCACACCUUCCGCUCAGGUCUCAGGUCUCUGAGUGCUGACCAGGUCCUGGGUUGGUAGCUUUUGCUUCAGGACGGCUCUGGGACUGACCGGAAGCCAUGGAAGAGCAGCAGAUGAGAGCGGCAUGACUAUCUGGAAGGCGUUUUUGCCUUUCAUUUGGGGCAAAAGUCCCGUAUAUUCCUGUUGCCUUUUAGCUCUUGUUCCCUUCUUUCCAACAUAUUCUCUGUUUCCAAAAUAAUUUUCAGUAAUUGGGUCCCAGUUGAUUCAGAUUUUAUGAUAUAGGUUCCAGGAAGCACGGGACCUUGAAUCUUGCCUUCUGAUUCCCCAUUUCUGGUAUCAGUGCCAUAGUUCCAUAUAUCAUUAUUUCACAUGUUUUUGAAGAAGGUAGUAGCAAACCGUGUCACAGUAUUUCAAAAAGCUUCUAUUAACAGAAGCCACUGGGUCCCAAGAUUAUUGCUGGAAUAUGUGCAAUUUAAUUUAAAACAUGUUCAAAGUAGAAAGUCUCUGAGUAGUGAAGGAAAGGAAGGGCUGGUCUUCCCUCCUGGGCCUCCGGCUUGCUGCCUUCCCACCGUCCUAGGUUCUGCUCUCCCGGCUGUGGGGCUUAGCAGGGAGGCCUUCUCUUGCUUUACUUGAAUAUCUGCUUACAACUAUUUUUCAUUUAAAAAAAGGACAGCUGUUGUUCAGUGGACACAUGCACGGCUCAGUUCUGCGUACACGGCUGUGGGGUAGACAGCUCUGUUUAGGGCAGGAGCCCCAGGGGAGCUGGGACCGAACUCUGAUUUAUGCUGACUGCGGUUGUGGGAGAGUGGAGAGCCACGUGUCGACACCCCAUCACGUUGGGUCGGGUGGCUGAAACCUCCCUAGGACUCACGGCCCAACUCCUGGAUUUAUCUGCCUCUUGAAGAGAAAGUGCUCGUCACUACUGGAAGGUUUUCUGUUUGGGGUAUGGGCUUCUCUGUUUCCCAAUCUUACUUUUCUUAAUUCUGUCCACACUCUAGAAGCCUCCACUCUGUUAGCAAGACACCAGGUUCUUCUGAUGCAAACCUGACUUAGACCUUGGGCUCCGUGGGCUUCUUCAGGCCCUAAGUCUGUGAUCGGGUAGAUUGCCUUGUGUGCAAGUAGUCAGACGGGGCUGACAAUCUCUCACUCUGAGGCAGCAUUAGGCCCUCUUGCUUCGCCAUGCCACCUACCCCUGGCAGGGAUAAAAAUUAAUUGUUGCAAAAACAAGACAGAGAGUUCCUGUAUACAUUCACCUGCUUACCCCAGAGUCGACAUCUUAAAUAACCACAGCAACAGUGUGGAAAACAGGAAAUUAACCCUGAUACAAUACUGAUUUCUCAUCUACAGAUCUUUCCAAUGUUCACCAGACUUCCCACUGAUGUCUUUUUUUGUUUUCCUGGUAUAGACUCUAAUAAUACAGGAUAUUAUUUGCAUUUACUUGCCUGGUCUCCUUAGUCUUGUCCAAUCUGUGACAUAAUCAGUCUUUUUCAUCUUUCAUAGACUUGACACUUUUGAAGAGAACUGGUCAGUUAUUUAUAGAUGUCCCUUAGUUGGGAAUGGUCUUAUGUUUUUUCAUUAUUACUUUGAGGUUGUACCUUGCAGCAAAGAAUACCACUGAGUGACAUUGUGUCCCCCCUUUGCAUGUCAUACCUGAGGGCCUGUGAUAUCAAUGUGACCUUCUACUUUAACUCUCAAUGAAGGGGACAUCUCCCAGGCUCCUCCACCUCCACGUCACCAUCCUCCCUCUAUAGUCAGUGAGCAUCCUGUGGGAAGGUGCCUAGACCCCAUGCAAACCUCCUGUUUCUUGUCAUAUUUUUACCCACUAUUUUUAGCAGUUCUUAAAAAUUCUUGCCUGUAAAAGUUAUUAUUCCUAUAUUUGCCUAGCAGAGAUUUUUUCUACUUCUCCUCUAUUGGAAGAAAGAGCUGUCCCUUCUCUCCUAUUGACUUAGCUGUUUGUUUAUAUUAGGAAAACUUGUGGGUCAUAAGUUUGAUACUAUCGUUAUACAUUUUGUGGCUCAAGUGCAACAAGCAUUGGUCAAGAACUUGUCACGUUGCUUCUCUGUCCUUCUAACGUACUCCCAUGUUUUUCAUUGUCGAGCUCAUGGCUUGGCAGCGUGGUUGUCCGAGAUGAUGUUUCCGUUUUCCUAGACGGAGCCCUGGACUCCCAUUUCUCUAGGGUUAACCCAUUCCUUAUAUUGGAGAAUAGUCUUAGAACCAAGACCAGGCACCAGGGAUGCUCUGCUUGGGUGUCACUGUCCCAGUCCUAUGCAAUCAGCAGGACAUGCAGCGCCCUUAUUUCUUUUUACAUUGAUCCCUUGGACCCAGGUGGGAAACCAUACAGUCAGGCUGUGAUUCAGCCCACACCAGUGCCCAUUUACGGCCUUCCUCCUCUCCUCAUUUAACAACUCCUGCUGACCAUGAAAAAUGUAGCUUUUAUUAUCCACAUUAUAAUAUUUUUUUCUAGAAUUUUUUAAAGUUAAAAGAAUUAUUUUAAUUUACACAUGAUUAUGGGGUACAGUGUUACAAUUUCACACAUACAUGUGAUUGUAAGGAUCUAAUCAGGGUAAUUACAUGUCCAUCUCCCUAAACACUUGUUCUUUCUUUGUGUUGGGAGUCUUGGAACUCUUCUCUUACAAUUCUUAGUAAGUUAUAUUAAAAAUUGUUGCCAUUUGUAAACUAUAGAUACCUUACUGUGCUGUAGAAUACUAGAACUCAUUCCUCUUUUCUAACCUGUUACCCAUAUUGACUUAAUUUUUUUGAUCCUAGUAAACACAUAAAAUAGUUCCAGAAUGAUCAAAUCGUAUUAAUCUCCCACCAAAGUGGAGAAUUUGUGAGAAUUUUUUUCCUUCUUCAGCCUCUUAUAUCUGGUUAAAUACCAUUUCCUCAGGAUACCUGGACUAGUUUUUCACCUUCCCUUCAGUCUGGUUAUGUUAAUCAUUUGUAAUACAGUAAAGCUCAUUUAUUGCUGUUUGCAUUCUAUCCUUGUUGAUUUUGAAUUGUUUGGGUUUUUUGUUUAUCGUGAAAUAUUUUAAUUUCAUUGUCAAAUCUGAAGUUUAAUUUUGCUGGAUACAGUAUUCUUGGUUGGAAUCCAUUAUUGUUUGGGUUUUUUGAUAUAAGAAACAUUACUGUGGCUGUGAGAAUCAUAACAUGUCAAAAGAUAGUCUCAAAGAAAUACUGCUUCCCACUGUUUCUGUGUCUCUUCCCCACUCCCUCCACCCUGUCCUCGCCCACUCCUCCUAGGCCACAAUCUCAGUUUCUGGUUUACCCUUCUCGUAUUUCUUUUGUAUUUGCACAAAUGAGCAGAUACAUUUUUAACAUAUCUUCUUUUUUACACGGAGGGUAGCACUAUAGACAUUCUUAUUUACUUGGGUUUUUUUUUUUUUUUAACACUAUGUCCUAAAAGUGACAGAAAUAGUCCAUAUUAGGCUGCAUGGUGCUCCAUUGUAUGAAUGGACCAGUUUAUUCAAUUACUCUACAGGGCUUGAAAAAUUUGGUUGUUUCCAUUUCAUUGCAACUACAAUCAGUGCUGCAACGACUAAGGCAUUGUAUGAGAAUUAAUUUGUCAAGUUUUGUUAUGUACAUAUAUGAAUCUACCACAGUGAAUUUCACAUUUGUGUAUAUCUAUAAAGGAUUAAUUUAAAAAAACGCUAAAGAUAAAUAGAAGAAAUGCCAGUAGCAUAGAAAAAGGAAACAGGGAAAGGGAGGAGGGAGGGAAGGCAGAAAUACUGGGCACUGAACUGGAGCAAAUUUUCUUGCAUACUUGCAUAUGUAUGUCAAAAUGAACCUCCGUAUUAUGUAAGACUAUAAUGAACAAAUUAAAAAAAAUUUUUAAAACCCUGUUGAUUGAAAUUCCAUUAAAUUUACAGAUUGAGUGUAACUGAGGUCUUUGUGAUUUUGCAUUUUCCAACCCAAGAAUACAUAUGUAUCUCCAUUUGGUUAGCUUUUAUUUUAGACUAUCAAUAAAUAUGUCUUUAUAAUUUUUCCUUAAGCAGUCUUGAACAUAUAUUGCCAGUUUUAUUUCAAGAUCCUGAUUAGUAUUUGUUUUCUGUUGUUGUUGCUCUUGUAAAAGGAAUCCAUCUUAAAAUUACAGUUCUCCUUCUCUCUAUUUACAUGCACAAGCUGAUAUUGUAAACCAUUGCUUUAACGCCUUUGUUUCACCAGUAUGUCCUCUGUUUCUUCCUACUAAUCCUUUACUCCUUCUUUACCCCUUCCAUGGUGUUGUUUAUUUCCUCCUUAACAAAAUUAGCUAGAAGUGAGAAUAAAGGAUAUUCUUAUUUUUGAUCAGAACUUAAACAGUAGUGUUUGUGAUAUUCAUCAUGAGGCAUAAUAUUUGCUGUACAUUUUGAGUAGAUGCUCUUUAUCAGGUUAAGGAAUUGCCCUCCUG